UACGUAGGGGGCAAGCGUUAUCCGGAUUUACUGGGUGUAAAGGGAGCGUAGACGGCCAGACAAGUCUGAAGCGAAAAUCCAGCGCUUAACGCUGGAAGUGCUUUGGAAACUGCCGGGCUGAGUGCAGGAGGGGCAGGCGGAAUUCCUAGUGUAGCGGUGAAAUGCGUAGAUAUUAGGAGGAACACCAGUGGCGAAGGCGGCCUGCUGGACUGCAACUGACGUUGAGGCUCGAAGGCGUGGGGAGCAAACAGG
rnacentral:rRNA from 1 species